rnacentral:misc_RNA from 1 species
GCAGCAACGGCAAGACCUACCUCAACCACUGUGAGCUGCAUAGAGAUGCCUGCCUCACUGGAUCCAAAAUCCAGGUUGAUUACGAUGGACACUGCAAAGAGAAGAAAUCUGUAAGUCCUUCUGCCAGCCCAGUCGUUUGCUAUCAGUCCAACCGCGAUGAACUCCGGCGUCGCAUCAUCCAGUGGCUGGAAGCUGAGAUCAUUCCAGAUGGCUGGUUCUCUAAAGGCAGCAACUACAGUGAAAU